rnacentral:rRNA from 1 species
AAUUUUGGGCAAUGGGCGAAAGCCUGACCCAGCAACGCCGCGUGAAGGAUGAAAUCCCUCGGGAUGUAAACUUCGCAAGAACAGGAAGAAUAAGGAAGAGUUAACACCUCUUUCGAUGACGGUACUGUUUAUAAGCUCCGGCUAACUCCGUGCCAGCAGCCGCGGUAAUACGUAGGGCGCAAGCGUUAUCCGGAAUUAUUGGGCGUAAAGAGCUCGUAGGCGGUUUGUCGCGUCUGCCGUGAAAGUCCGGGGCUCAACUCCGGAUCUGCGGUGGGUACGGGCAGACUAGAGUGAUGUAGGGGAGACUGGAAUUCCUGGUGUAGCGGUGAAAUGCGCAGAUAUCAGGAGGAACACCGAUGGCGAAGGCAGCCUCCUGGGCCAACACUGACGCUCAUGCACGAAAGCGUGGGGAGCAAAC